CUCCACGCAACUCCGUCCAAAAAUCCUUAAAGAAACCAAAAUUUAUCCCAUCAGGCCCAGGACUUUUGUAACUAUCACAGUCCCAGACAGCUGAUUUCACCUCUGCUUCCGUAAAAGGUUUGAUAAGGCUACAACACUCAAUAUGGUUCAAUCUCUUAAACUGAAGAUUCUCCACUCCGGGUCUUUCCAUAUUUUGAUU
rnacentral:lncRNA from 1 species